GAUGAACGCUGGCGGCGUGCUUAACACAUGCAAGUCGAACGGGGAACAUUUUAAAGAAGCUUCGGCAGAUUUAGUUUGUUCCUAGUGGCGGACGGGUGAGUAACGCGUGGGUAACCUGCCUCACACUGGGGGAUAACAGUCAGAAAUGACUGCUAAUACCGCAUAAGCGCACAGAGCCGCAUGGCUCAGUGUGAAAAACUCCGGUGGUGUGAGAUGGACCCGCGUUGGAUUAGCCAGUUGGCAGGGUAACGGCCUACCAAAGCGACGAUCCAUAGCCGGCCUGAGAGGGUGGACGGCCACAUUGGGACUGAGACACGGCCCAGACUCCUACGGGAGGCAGCAGUGGGGAAUAUUGCACAAUGGGGGAAACCCUGAUGCAGCGACGCCGCGUGAAGGAAGAAGUAUCUCGG
rnacentral:rRNA from 1 species